rnacentral:rRNA from 1 species
UACGUAGGCAGCGAGCGUUGUCCGGAUUUAUUGGGCGUAAAGAGCGUGUAGGCGGCCAGGUAGGUCUGCUGUGAAAACUCGAGGCUCAACCUCGAGACGUCGGCGGAAACCAUCUGGCUAGAGUCCGGAAGAGGAGAGUGGAAUUCCUGGUGUAGCGGUGAAAUGCGCAGAUAUCAGGAAGAACACCCGUGGCGAAGGCGGCUCUCUGGGACGGUACUGACGCUGAGACGCGAAAGCGUGGGGAGCGAACAGG